rnacentral:rRNA from 1 species
AACGAACGCUGGCGGCAGGCCUAACACAUGCAAGUCGAACGCAUCGCAAGAUGAGUGGCGCACGGGUGAGUAACACGUGGGAAUGUACCCUUUGGUUCGGAAUAACGUUUGGAAACGAACGCUAAUACCGGAUGAGCCCUGCGGGGGAAAGAUUUAUCGCCAAAGGAGCAGCCCGCGUCUGAUUAGGUAGUCGGUGGGGUAAAGGCCUACCAAGCCGACGAUCAGUAGCUGGUCUGAGAGGAUGAUCAGCCACACUGGGACUGAGACACGGCCCAGACUCCUACGGGAGGCAGCAGUGGGGAAUAUUGGACAAUGGGCGCAAGCCUGAUCCAGCCAUGCCGCGUGAGUGAUGAAGGCCUUCGGGUUGUAAAGCUCUUUCGCACACGACGAUGAUGACGGUAGUGUGAGAAGAAGCCCCGGCUAACUUCGUGCCAGCCGCCGCAGUAACAC